rnacentral:tRNA from 1 species
GGGGCCAUAGCUCAGUUGGCAGAGCGCCUGCUUUGCAAGCAGGAGGUCGCCGGUUCGAUCCCGGCUGGCUCCAUCA